rnacentral:rRNA from 1 species
CCUACGUGAGGCUGCAGUGAGGAAUAUUGGUCAAUGGACGCAAGUCUGAACCAGCCAUGCCGCGUGCAGGAAGACGGCUCUAUGAGUUGUAAACUGCUUUUGUACGAGGGUAAACGCAGAUACGCGUAUCUGUCUGAAAGUAUCGUACGAAUAAGGAUCGGCUAACUCCGUGCCAGCAGCCGCGGUAAUACGGAGGAUUCAAGCGUUAUCCGGAUUUAUUGGGUUUAAAGGGUGCGUAGGCGGUCGGAUAAGUUAGCGGUGAAAUCCCGAGGCUCAACUUCGGAAUUGCCUCUGAUACUGGUCGGCGAGAGAGUAGUGGCGGUAGGCGGAAUGUAUGGUGUAGCGGUAAAAUGCUUAGAGAUCAUACAGAACACCGAUUGCGAAGGCAGCUUACGAAGCUACUUCUGACGUCGAGGCACGAAAGCGUGGGGAGCAAACAGGAUUAGAUACCCGGGUAGUC